rnacentral:rRNA from 1 species
GUGCCAGCCGCUGCGGUAAUACGGGAGGUACUAGUGUUAAUCGGAAUUACUGGGCGUAAAGAGUGCGUAGGUGGUAUAUUAAGUCGUAUAUGAAAUCUUUAAGCUUAACUUAAAAACUGUAUUCGAUACUAAUAAACUAGAGUUUAUAGAGGGGAAUAGAAUUCCAAGUGUAGCAGUGAAAUGCGUAGAUAUUUGGAGGAAUACCAGAUGCGAAGGCGAUUCCCUGGGUAAAAACUGACACUGAGACACGAAAGCUUGGGUAGCGAACAGGAUUAGAUACCCUGGUAGUCCAUGCUGUAAACGAUGUCAAUUUGAAGAUUGUAAUAUUUUUAUGUUUUUAUAAUUUUCGUAGCUAACGCGUUAAAUUGACCGCCUGAGAAGUACGAUCGCAAGAUUAAAACUCAAAUGAAUUGACGGGGGCCCGCACAAGCGGUGGAGCAUGUGGUUUAAUUCGAUGCAACGCGAAGAACCUUACCUACUCUUGACAUCAUAAAGUAAUAAAGUAGAAAUUACUUUAGUAUCU